CGGGGGUCCUGGCUCUCCGGAGCUGGGAGCCCGGAUCGCUUUAACCCUUUGCUUUCCAAUUCCCCCUCCCCUGAUAUCGGAAAGUCUCUUUUCUUUUUCGUAUCAAGAAAAGCCCGGUGAAGACUCAGCAGAACCCAGGAAGCGCAGAAUCGGGAGAAAGUCUUUGGCUGGGGCUGGUUCAAGUCCCUGGUUCAAUGGGCUGCUGGAAGCCAGGACUGGCCAUUUGGAUCAGAAGAUGACAGAUGUUUCAGGUUUUGACGGAUGAUUCAGGUUAACUCAUACCUUAUCCAACGUUUUCAGCUCUACAAGACAAUGUGGCAAAGAACUUUGGAGAUGAAGAACUUGGAUAGAAGAAACGAUUUGCCCAGGGUUACCUGACUUACAGAAGGAGCCCCACACUUUGUUUUCCCUCCAGUCUAGUGUUUUCUCAAAUACACCACUUUGCUUUUUAACUAAAUAAUGGCUUUCCACCACUACAUCCUAAUGAAGAAUUCUGCCACAGGUAUUGGCUUCUUAGAAUCACUGUUCGUGCAGGCGGUCUCUCCUUUUGCCAGUGGGAAAACACAAAUGGGAGAAGAACAACCUUCUGUUUCUUCAAUGGCCUCUAACAAACCAGCGACACCUGAGGGUGAUUCAUUUUUUCAUUUGGUGAAGAUUGCAAGUUUGUUGAAAAUCUUGUCACUUGUUUCGAUGAGGAAGCAAUGUGUGCUGCCUAAGUAGGCGAUAGUUUUUAAGUAAAAACGUGUUAAUUCAUUUUAGGCAGGGCCAGAUUCUGCCCUAUUCUUUGACUAAUCCCUAGUUAUCUAGCAUACUGCCCGGUAUGUGUUAGAUCGUAAACGUAUACAUAUUUAUAUACAAGGAGGGAAGGAGCUAAGAAGAAAAGGAGUCUAGUGCUAUCUUCUACAAAAUAUUAUUCUUUAACAAUAACUGUCAUUGGCUUAUUUUUAUUUUGAUAGAUGAAAUUUUAAUCAUCCCAAACACCCACAAUAACUGACCCAAGUAAGAUUAAAUCAGUCUUCAAAGGUUCUAUGUUCUUUUAUCUCUCUCCAAAUACUCCUUUUAUAUUUUGAAAUAUGGGCUCUAAUCUAAAAGGCUAAGAGUUUUUAUUUUGGGGGGAAAUGGUGUCAUUAGGAUCAGUAGGGGAAAAUGAUUGUGGUUUAAAAAUAAUUGUUUAAACAAAUUGGCGUAAAUCGUGCU